AUGAAGCUUUUCCACACCUCUUGGGAUGAGAAGGAGCAAAGUGGUGGUGCUGCUGCGUCUGGGAGCGAUCAGUCUGCUAAAGAUCACAAGUCACUCAGAAUUGGAUAUCCUCAUCGCCGAGGCUGUCAGACACACCACGUCCUGUCCCUGCUGGCUGCACAGCAACACAUCUGCAUGGAUGGGGAGAUGGAAACCCAAUGUGUAUCAUCUCCUCUGAGCCUGCUCGAGUUGCUCUUCAGUGCUUCAAGGGGGAAGAAAGACCAGAAAAAUAAUAAGGCUUUGUAUGAGUGGCAGACAAGGACAAAACAACGAGUAAAACCAUGUAGGAGAAUUCAGCACACAUUUGAUAUUGAACAGAAAGGGUCUCCAUGUGGACUCCUGAGCAGGUAUGCAUUUUGUUUUCGUGCCCUACCUGGUGCUGGUUGCAAUGCAGAAGGUGUGUCCCGAUGCAGGGCUGGAUUACAUCCCACGCAGGAUCCCCAGAGACGUGCCAGUUUUCCCAUGACGUGCCCUGCAGAGAUUUGCAAUGAGCGAAGCUGA
rnacentral:lncRNA from 1 species